UUCUCUUCUUGGCUCACUUUUUCUGGCUCAAUUUUCUCAACCUGAUAGUUACAUUUAUUUAGAUUUCUUCUAUAUUAAUUAUGUCCUGCAGGAAACUGUUUACUGUUGUGUUUAAGAGGCAAUGAAUCCAACUGACAAGUGUCCAAUAAGACACAGCUAUGAUUUUGCCCCUAAUCCCUUUCUCAGUGAGAGAAAAGAAUUGUCUUCAGAGGACACAAGUAGUAGCUCAUAGCAAGGGAGGGCAGAGUCCUGAAAGGCAGAAGGAGGAGGAGUCCAUUCCACCACUGCUGGGUUUCCCAGGCAGAAAUAAGCUGAGGGUGCACUGAGCGGGGACAAACCUUAAAUGGAGGAAGAGCCUGGAGUCACAUGAUUGCUCAAUUAGUCUUGAUCUUUCUCCAGUAAAGAGUGGCUAGAAGGCUAUUUACAUGCCUGAUUGUGACAGAAAAAUGUUGUGGCUUGUCAGAAAAUCCAUUCACAGGCAGAGAGAAGACUAUCAACAGAACAACUUUAAAGAGAACUGGGCCAAGAUGGAGUGUCCUAUCUAUACCACCCAUCACACAGAACAUUGAAAUGCAUCUAUAUUAGUGGUGAGAAGAGAGGCGGCCUGGGGGUGACCUUGAAAUAAAAAAGAAGCAUAUGGAAAUAAGCCUAGGGCUCUCAAAUUCUGGAUCUAAAAAGCAACAAAGAGAAUCUCAGUGGUUGAUGUGUCGGAAAUAGAAAGUGAAUGAGUUUGAGAUUUUAUAUAUAUAUAUGCAAAUAAUAACAAAUUGUCAGUUUUCUCUGACAAAAGUUUUAAUUCUGCUUCAUGGCUUUAAACAUAUGCAGUAUAUCUAGCUUCGACUUAGAAUAUAGAAAGCUGGAAGGAAUAUUGUUUCCACCCUUACAAUAAACACAACAAAAACAUGCUGGAUUGUCUAUUAAAUUACAACUUUCUUCAACCUACUAGAUUGCUGAGGACAAGAAAACAAACUGAAGAAAAAGAACCUCCAGGGAGACAAGGAGGCAAGCAUUUGUGGGAGAAGAUACAGCUGAUGACAAGAAGUUUGCUAAAUUUCGAGUAAAUAAUUGAGGCCAAGGGUGGGCAAGUGUGAGAGUAUAGAAACCCUCAGCACCCUUUUCUCAUGGACCUCUUGAGAAAUAUGGGAACACAGCGAGACGCAGAAGCAAACUUCCUUUGUGGUGAAAGUGUAAGGGAGAGAACAGUGGUGCCCACAGGCAAAGCUUCACUAAAGUCCUUCACUCCUAUCGCUCCUAUGGUACAAAACAAAAAGCUGGUCCAGGAAGGCUUGCAAAGCUGUUCUUCCCAUGGAAAAUCUAUGGCAGUUGUGGUAAGGGAAGACUGAGGGAGGGAGUCAGAGAGAGGAAGAAAAUAAGGAAGAAGUCUACUUUUGGAGAAAGACAAGAAGCAUCCAGAUUGUUAGACAUUCUUCUGGCCAGACCUACUGAGAAAAGGGUACUGCACCUACUUAAGACUGUGGUGAACCAAACAUUUCUUGGAAGAAAACAGCUUUUUCCCAUCUCUAGUACUUUUCAUUUCAACAAGAAUUUCAUAGAAAAGCAUCCUUUUGAAAGUAUGUUCCUGGCGCAACUGGCAAUAUAUCAUCUCUAUAUUCAAUAUAUAAUUCAAGAUAAAAUCAAAUAUAGGUCAGGAUGAUUAUUUUUGAAAUGUAUACCAAUCAAUGUAUUGGAAUAAAGACAUAACUUCUACCUUUGAUAACCUGGAAAUAUUUUUUGAGACACAUAGUUUUGGAUGUCAAAGGAAGAGAAAAAAUGUUAGAGGCAGCUAUGAGGAUGCGACAAGGAAUCCAGGCCAAGUUUUCAGGCAGGAAUAUGAAAGGGGUGAUUAACGAAUCAUGAGCAGACCGACUUGACUAACCCAUAAAGGUUGGAGUGGAAUGGCGUGAUCUUGGCUCUACUGCAAUCUCUGCCUCCCGUUUUCGAGUGGUUCUCCUGCCUCAGCCUCCCGAGUAGCUGGGAUUACAGGCAUGUGCCACACGUGUGUUGUUUUAAGCCACUGUAUCUGUGGUGAUUUGUUCUCCAGCAAUAGAAAAGCAACACAAUCUUCCUGCAACCUCUACUGCACUACCUACUGUAAAUUCUGGAGGAAUAUCACCAGUAUCUAUAAAAGUGAAAUAUGCACUGUGAAUUAGUAUUUUUGCAAAAAUCAGUGUAACAUAUAUGUCUAAAGUUUGCAUAAAUCUCAAAUACUUAAACAAUGAGACUUGAGUUGUAAUCAAUGAUAAUUUGGUACAAAAUAUUGCAAUCUAGGUAACAUUUAUUUUCAAACUUGAUGUUUUAUAUGUAUUUUAUUUCCUUAGCAGUAACCUAUCCGGUUUCAACUAUCUUAAAUGUGUUAUGUGGUUUCUACUGCUUCACAAUUCAACUCAUAAUAUCCUAAUUCAAGUAGAGAAUAACAAAAUCAGCACUACAUAUUCUUUUGAAAUUCCUGAGCAAAUUUAGAUGACAGGUGUAGAAAUUGCAUGACUAAUUCAGAGGAUAUGAGAUUGAAAAGCCGUAUACUAGCUGGCACAUAUGAUAUUUCCAUCUCAUUCAAUUCAGAGAGCGUAGCCCUCAGAAUCACCUUUUAUUAGCAAAACAUUUGAGGACUGAUAUAAAUUUGAAUAAGUGGCAAAGCAAUUUGUCAUAGAUCAAAAUGCCUUUCCUUCUUUGCUACUACAAGCAUUUAAAGCCUUCUUGCAUGUUUACGUUCAUUAAUUUCACUCCAUGGGCAUACUGUAGCAUGAUAAAGCACUGGAAAACAAAAUACUGCAUUGAUAAGUACUUUAAAAUGCUUAUAAGCUUCAAAUUGAAUUAUUUGUCUAAAUAAGAUUAUCUGAUUAUAAAAGGAAAUAAAUAUUCAUUGUGGUUAAUGUGGCAAUUACAGAUAAACAAAAUAAAACAUCAGGAGUACUUCCAGAAUUCAGUUUUAAACAUUCUUAGUAAUAUAGAAUGUAUCUGCAAAACAUUUGAAAAUAAGUAAUUGUUAGGUUAAAAAUAAAGACAUUUGUACUAAAAACAAUUCAAAAAUAAAAUUAAGAAAUCAUCUUAUUUACAAUGAUAUCAAAACAAAGAAUAUACUUAAAAAUAAGCUUAAUCAAAGAGGUGAAAGAUUUGUAUAAUGAAAACUACUAAACUUUAAUAAAAGAAAUUAAUGGAAAGAUAGCUUGUGUUUGUGAAUUGGGAGAUUUAAUAUCGUUAACAUGUUCAUACUAGGCAAAGUGAUCUACAGAUUCAAUGCAAUCCCUAUCAAAAUUCAAAUGGCAUUCUGCUAUGUUCUGAAUGCCUCUGCACCUUCAAAAUGCGUAUGUUGAAAUUCUGCCUACAAAGUCUAUGGUAUUAUGAGGUGAGGUUUUUGAGGUAAUUAGUCUUGAGAACAGAGCCCUCUUAAUUGGGAUUAGUGCUGUUAUAGAGGAGACCCAAGAGAGAUACGUACUCCUUUCUGCCAUGUAAGGUUAGAGAGAGAAGGUGUCUGUCUAUGAGGAAAUGUGCUGUCAGUAGACACCAAAUCUGCCAGCACCUAUUUGACUUCCAGCCUCCAGAACUGUGAGAAAUAAUUUCUACUUUUUAUGACACCCAGCCUAUGUUCCUUUGUUAUAGUAGCCAGAAUAAACAAAAACACAAUGUUUACAACAAUUAAAAUAACCCUAACAUUUAUAUGAUACCACAAAAGACCCCAAAUAGGGAAAACAGUCUUGAGAAAGAAGAACAAAGUUGGAGGCCUAACACUUCCUGAUUGUAAAUUAUAGUGUAAUGCUACAGUGACCAAAAGAGUGUGUUCAUGGCAUAAAAGUAGACAUACAGACAAACAGAACAGAAUAGAAAUUUCAGAUAUAAAUCCAUGCAUAUACACUAAAGCGAUCUUCAAAAAGGGUGCAAAAACACACAAUGGGGAGAGGUAGUCUCUUCAACAAAUGGUACUGGGAAAGCUGGUGUUGUGUUUUCUCCUAAUUUCUUCAUGAGGUCUCUCACUGGAGAACUGCUGUGAACCCUAGCCCAGAGAGGGCUACAGGGAUUUGGUUCUGGAUGUUAAUAGUGUGCCCAUCCUAGGCACUUCUUUAUCCUGGUGAGUGACCUAAUGCCUUUGUGUUCAACCCAUGAUCUAGUAAGUCUCUGAGAGAAAAGUUGUUUAUACUAUCAGACAGCACUCUGGCUCUUGCCUGCUCUGUGUCCAGCUUAUUCCUACCAAGAUAAUCAAUCUCUAGGAAAGCCCUGGCCAGGAAGAGAGUUAGGUUCGGGCGUAUGGGUCAGGUGAGACACAAAGGAGACCUCGCAGGUCAAGACACAAAAACCACAGAAGCAAUUUUAAUAUUUAGAGAUUCCGGUGAGAAGAAGGCAGCACACUUUGUGGGGCCAACUGUCUCAAGGGUGGCCGAAACCUGCUUCUGGAAUGAGAAACUCCAACUUAUAUUCAAAAUUGAUGCUGAGUCAACACUUAAUUAUAGGAAUUCACUACAACUGGAUAAGCACAUGCAAAAAACAAAACAAAACAACAACAACCAAAAAAACCCACCAAAACUAUAACUGUCUUACAACAUGUAUAAAACCAAACUCAAAACUGAUGAAAAAUUUAAACAUAAGACUUAAAACUGCAAAACUCUUGAAAGAAAACAUACAGAGAAAGCUUCGUAACACUGGACUUGGCAAUUAUUUCUUAGAUAUGACAAUAAAACCACAAAUGACAAAAGAAAAAUUAGACAAGCAGAAAAAAGCUUCUCCAUAGCAAAGGAAACAAUCAACAGAGUAAAAAGGCAGCCUACAGAAUGAAGGAAAUACCUGCAAACCAUACAUACCAUAAUGAUGAUCCUUAUACAUGGUUUGAAAAUAUAUAUAUAUGGAACUCCUACAACUCAACAGCAAAAAUCACAAAUCAACCAAUUUAAAAAUGGGCAAGAGACUUGAAUAGACAUUUCUCCAAAGAAGACAUUUAAAUGGCCAACAGGUAUUUAAAAAAAUGUUCAAUAUCACUGAUCAUCAGGGAAAUGCAAAUCAAAACCAUACUAUUAGGAUGACAAUUAGCAAAGAGACAGAAGUGUUGGUGAGCAUGUGGAGAAAUUAAAAUCUAUGUAUACUAUUGGUAGAAAUGUAAAAAGGUACAGCUACUAUGAAAAACAUUACAGAGGUUUCUUAAAGAAUUAAAAAUCGAAUCACUAUGUGACCCAGCAAUCUCACUUCUGGAUAUAUAUUUUAAAAGUUGAAAUCAGCAUCUCAAAAGAUAUUUGCACAGUCAUGUUCAUUGCAGCAUUAUUCAUAAUAGCCAAGAUAUAGAAACAAUCUAUGUGCUUGUUGACAGAAGAAGGGAUUACAAAAAGCCAACUAUGGUAUAUAAAUAUAAGGGAGUAUUAUUUAACCUAAAAAGGAAGACAUUCUGCCCUAUGUGACAACAAGGAUGAACAGGAGGACAUAAUGCUAAGUGAAAUUAGCCAGUCACUGAAGAAUAAUACUGCAUCAUUUCACUUAUAUGAGUUAUCUUAAAAAAAAAAACAAAAAAAAAUUGUUUACAUUUACGUAUAUUUGAUAAUGAUAAAAUUGAAUUUUUUAAUAUAGAAUGACCACUAUUAUUGUCCCUUAAUAUAGUUAAUGGCAAAUAUGUUAAAAUGUUUUACUUCUUUCUGGGAGGUAUCAAUUAUCAAAUGUGUUAGAAUAUUUACUAUUUUUUUUUUACUUUUGUUGUUGUUUUAAGUGUUUGCAUUUGUGUGGGUAUACGAUUUGACAUUUAGAAGUCAAUAUCCAAGUAAAUAUCCAAGUAGUCAAAAGCAAUUGACAUACUACUUUCUGAUUUUGAUCUAUGGUCUUGUACUUAGAAAAACUUUCUCCAUCACUAAGUAUAUUAAAAAAAUCCUAGCAUUCCUGGAAAAGUAAUGAGCACAUAGAAACGCUUAAAAGAGCUUCACUUUUCUCUUAACCAGUAAAUUCCAUCAAUAAACAUUUGCAAGAGAUUUUGAUGAGGGUUCAAUUUGCCUGUUUUCCUAAGAAAGGGGAAAUAAAUUAUUAUUCCACUUUUAAUUCUUUUCUUCACAACAAUGAAGUUCAUUUUUUUAACCUUUAAAUCUUUGAUUAAUUUCUAUUUGAAUUCAUACAUUUUUGAAGUAAUAAAGUGAGUGUUUUUUUCUUGAAAAUAUAUAUUUUUAUUUUUUGUUUGUUUAGGGGAAGGUUGGAUUAUGAAUACCCUUUAUAUUCAGAUUCACUAAUUAUUUUGGAAGGUCUAAUAAACUUAUCUUCUAUUUAUGUUUAAUGUAUGCUUUCUUAAUAUUUCACUUGGAUUCUCAAUAAAUAUUUAGGCAAGGGAUAUCAAAACAAUGCCAAAUGACUAUAUUUCAACUCAAAGAGCUGUUAAGAAGACAUAUAUCCCCACGUUUCCCCAUUUUACACAGAGUGGGGGUCCAGUAGGUUACUUAGAAUCAUGUUUGUAAGAAACUUCAAAAAAGAACGGUCCAUGGGUUCUCUGAUUCAUUGUUGCAUUUAAAAUAUUGUUUAUUGUUCAUAAUAUAAUACCUUUCCAAAUUUAUUUACUCAAUAUCACAUAUCUAGUUCUUGAAACAGUUUCUAAGGUAUAAAAGGCAUUCUAGAAAUAUUUUUAGAAAAAC
rnacentral:lncRNA from 1 species